GUUUUAACGAGACAUAUUCUUUGUGUAAUGGACAUCCAAGAGGGAGUGUUAUGAAACAACUAAAAUGUGGAUGUCCUUUUGUAUUCUCAAGAUGAUUAAUUCAUGAUUUAUAGCUAUAUUAUGUAUAGAAAUUACAAUCCAUAAAUCUAUUCAUGUAGUGGAAAAACCGUUUCAUAAGUUUUUUCAUAUUCUUAUAGUAGUGGAUGUUUAAUAGAAUUAAUGUACCUUUAAUCUUGUAGUACCUAUAUAUAGAGGUAUAUUGACACCCUUUGCGAGAUUUUUUGUAUUGGUUGGAAUAAUAAGAUAAUUACUCUCUAUUUCUCUAUUUAUUUCUUUAAUAUCUCCAAUAUUUUACUUGAUAUUAUAGUGGUUUAUUUUAUUAGUUUUACAACAUUUAAAUAUUUUUAAAUAUAUUGUUUGGAGAUAUAGUUCAAUAAGUACUUAUAGUAUUGGAUAGUAUGUAAUUUCAAAUUUUUUUAAAAGUAUUUAUCUCUUCAUUUGGUGCGUAAUAUAUGAUAAAAUGAUUAAAUUUGAUGUUUUAUUUUUAAAUCACCAAAACUACUCUAAAAGCACUAAAUUUGAGUUUUCACUAAAAGUACUUUUAACACAAAAAACUAUAUUCCUAAUUUUCUGGAAUAAUAUUUACCAAACACUUUAAAAGUACUUUUAAUACUUAAAAAUAUAUU
rnacentral:lncRNA from 1 species